rnacentral:rRNA from 1 species
GACGAACGCUGGCGGCGUGCUUAACACAUGCAAGUCGAACGGAAAGGCCCUGCCUUUGUGGGGUGCUCGAGUGGCGAACGGGUGAGUAACACGUGAGUAACCUGCCCUUGACUUUGGGAUAACUUCAGGAAACUGGGGCUAAUACCGGAUAGGAGCUCCUGCUGCAUGGUGGGGGUUGGAAAGUUUCGGCGGUUGGGGAUGGACUCGCGGCUUAUCAGCUUGUUGGUGGGGUAGUGGCUUACCAAGGCUUUGACGGGUAGCCGGCCUGAGAGGGUGACCGGCCACAUUGGGACUGAGAUACGGCCCAGACUCCUACGGGAGGCAGCAGUGGGGAAUAUUGCACAAUGGGCGGAAGCCUGAUGCAGCAACGCCGCGUGCGGGAUGACGGCCUUCGGGUUGUAAACCGCUUCCGCCUGUGACGAAGCGUGAGUGACGGUAAUGGGUAAAGAAGCACCGGCUAACUACGUG